rnacentral:rRNA from 1 species
AUUGAACGCUGGCGGCAGGCCUAACACAUGCAAGUCGAACGAGUGGCGGACGGGUGAGUAAUGUCUGGGAAACUGCCUGAUGGAGGGGGAUAACUACUGGGAACGGUAGCUAAUACCGCAUACCAUCAGAUGUGCCCAGAUGGGAUUAGCUAGUUGGUGGGGUAACGGCUCACCAAGGCGACGAUCCCUAGCUGGUCUGUGAGGAUGACCAGUCACACUGGAACUGAGACACGGUCCAGACUCUGACGGUAGGCAGCAGGGGGGAAUAGUGGACAAUGGGCGCAAGCCUGAGGCAGCCAUGCCGCGUGUAGGAAGAAGGCCUUCGGGUUGUAAAGUACUUUCAGCGGGGAGGCGUUACCCGCAGAAGAAGCACCGGCUAACUCCGUGCCAGCAGCCGCGGUAAUAC